rnacentral:rRNA from 1 species
GUGGGGAAUAUUGGGCAAUGGGCGAAAGCCUGACCCAGCAACGCCGCGUGAGGGAAGAAGGUCUUCGGAUUGUAAACCUCUGUCCUUGGGGACGAAAAAAAUGACGGUACCCAAGGAGGAAGCCCCGGCUAACUACGUGCCAGCAGCCGCGGUAAUACGUAGGGGGCAAGCGUUGUCCGGAAUUACUGGGCGUAAAGGGUGCGUAGGCGGUUGCCUAAGUCAGAUGUGAAAUCCCCGGGCUUAACUCGGGUGGUGCAUUUGAAACUGGGCGGCUAGAGUGCAGGAGAGGGAAGCGGAAUUCCUAGUGUAGCGGUGAAAUGCGUAGAUAUUAGGAGGAACACCAGUGGCGAAGGCGGCUUUCUGGACUGUAACUGACGCUGAGGCACGAAAGCGUGGGGAGCAAACAGGAUUAGAUACCCGAGUAGUCC